AGGCCUAACACAUGCAAGUCGAGGGGUAGUUACUUUCGGGUAAUGAGACCGGCGCACGGGUGCGUAACGCGUAUGCAAUCUACCUUUUACAGGGGAAUAGCCCAGAGAAAUUUGGAUUAAUGCCCCAUAGUAUAUAAACUUCGCAUGUUGUUUAUAUUAAAGUUCCAACGGUAAAAGAUGAGCAUGCGUCCCAUUAGUUAGUUGGUAAGGUACCGGCUUACCAAGACGAUGAUGGGUAGGGGUCCUGAGAGGGAGAUCCCCCACACUGGUACUGAGACACGGACCAGACUCCUACGGGAGGCAGCAGUGAGGAAUAUUGGACAAUGGGCGCAAGCCUGAUCCAGCCAUGCCGCGUGCAGGAAGAAGCAUCUAUGGUGUGUAAACUGCUUUUGUACAGGAAGAAACACUCCCUCGUGAGGGAGCUUGACGGUACUGUAAGAAUAAGGAUCGGCUAACUCCGUGCCAGCAGCCGCGGUAAUACGGAGGAUCCAAGCGUUAUCCGGAAUCAUUGGGUUUAAAGGGUCCGUAGGCGGUUUGAUAAGUCAGUGGUGAAAGCCCAUCGCUCAACGAUGGAACGGCCAUUGAUACUGUCAGACUUGAAUUACAAGGAAGUAACUAGAAUAUGUAGUGUAGCGGUGAAAUGCUUAGAUAUUACAUGGAAUACCAAUUGCGAAGGCAGGUUACUACUUGUGGAUUGACGCUGAUGGACGAAAGCGUGGGGAGCGAACAGGAUUAGAUACCCUGGUAGUCCACGCCGUAAACGAUGGAUACUAGCUGUUGGGAGCAAUCUCAGUGGCUAAGCGAAAGUGAUAAGUAUCCCACCUGGGGAGUACGUUCGCAAGA
rnacentral:rRNA from 1 species